UACGUAGGUGGCAAGCGUUGUCCGGAUUUACUGGGCGUAAAGAGCGCGCAGGCGGUCGUCCAAGUCGCGUGUGAAAGCCCCCGGCUCAACUGGGGAGGGUCAUUCGAUACUGAUCGACUCGAAGGCAGGAGAGGGAAGCGGAAUUCCCGGUGUAGUGGUGAAAUGCGUAGAUAUCGGGAGGAACACCAGUGGCGAAGGCGGCUUCCUGGCCUGUUCUUGACGCUGAGGCGCGAAAGCUAGGGGAGCAAACGGG
rnacentral:rRNA from 1 species